UCAAAUAGCACUCUGAUUAAUGAGUUUAAAUGACAGGAGAGUCCACCUGAACAUUAGGAAGAACUUUCUAACUGUAAGAGUGGUUCAGCAGUGGAAUUUUCUAUCUCAGAUUAUAGUGGAGGCUUCUCCUUUGGAGGCUUUUAAACGGGCUGGAUGGCCAUCUGUCAGGGGUACCCUGGGAUGCCUGCCUGUGGUGGAGGACAAUGCAAAAUCUAGGAUGAAAGGGUCCCCAAAUGAAAGCGUUCCUUGGGUGGUGGACCAUAGUGUUUGGAAGGACACUCGCAGGGUUUGGGCUACAUGUUCAUGGAGCUCGCUAUAACUGCAAUGUCAGUGGAAAAGAGUGACUUUGUAGCUCCUCAGCACUGGGAACUAUAGCCUGUUUGUGGAGGCUGGAAGCUGUCUGUGUGAGUUGACAUCUGUGCCACAUACAGACAUACGGGUUUUCACUUUUAUUAUAGAUACUGUAUAUGGAAUAUAUAGACAGGUAGAUAUAGUGAUGGAUCUCUAUUAAAGGAAUUGCAGAAGUUUCAGAUCUUUUGAGUGGGUUGUCAGGUCCCUAAUAAAUAUUAAAGAGAAUGGAGCAUGAAGUGGUAAAUCAAGAGUUUAUGCUUUUUUUCUCUUUCAGUCUGGCCAUGCCAUGUUAAUCAGCUUUUCUUUAAGCCUGGCUACUCAUCCCUAAACCUUGCUUUUCACAUGUUAAUCUCCUUCAACUUUCACAUCAUCAAGGAAGGGAAGAAUCCUCUCCAAAAAUAUUGUUGGGAAUGACUUGGAAGGCACACAACAAGAAUUAUUUUUUUAACUGGAAUUUUGCUUUACUCACAUCUCCAACAAGUAGAAUAAGAAUCUAGAAGGUAGAUGAAUUGACCAGAAAAAAGGAGUUGUCUCAGUUUCUUCAUUAAAAUGGACAAUUGGUGCACUUGCGCUGCAUUUUUCAACAGCAGCUAAAUGCGGUGGGUUCUUGUUCAUGGCCCUCCUGACCCUGCAUGCCACUGAGACAGAUGCCCCAGCAGGACAUCAGAGUCAAGAUAUUUGUGAGUUGAGUGAAUCAUUGCAUUAUCUUUUCCAAAGGAAAAAGGUCUACAUUGAGAAGCCAGGGUUGAACCUCUGGUAGUAGAAAACAAAUUUCCACCAUUAUUUUUCACAAAGAAGAAAAAAACCACUUCAUACCUGGUAAUACUUGGGUCACAAUAGGCUUUUUCUAUUUCCACUCCAUUGGGUAAAUCAUUCCAACCACUUACACUAUGCACCUGCCAUCGAUAAGGCAAAUGGUAAUGGAUCAUAUUGCAGUUAUCUACAAACAGAACAAAUAAAAGGAAAAUACCCAGUGGUUAUUGCAACUAAUAACAGAGCAUGAAAACCAAGCAAAUAACAGAAACAGAUUGGUAAUAACUGGUAAUAAUCAGACUUUAAGUAACAUAAAGGUCGGACAAAAUUGGCAGCAGAUUAUUCAGGCAAAAAGUAUUCCUUAGGGAUGGGGAGUUUCACAAUGACACUUGAUUUUUCACUUAUUCUCAUCAGCAAUUCCUUCAUCAAAGCUCCUCUGCAACUGAGUGCAAUGUAGAAUCACAUGGAGGAAGGUGGUAAAAUACAUAUCCUGGGUCCAAAAUCUAUUUACAGCUUUAAUUAAAAUUUGUGCACCAGCUGCGACUGUACCUCGGAAAGCCUGACUUGGCCAUGGUGGUCCACAUCUUAGUUACAUCCAGAAUGGACUAUUGUAAUGCACUCUAUGUAGGGCUGCCUUUGAAGAUGACUCGGAAACUGCAGUUAGUGCAAAAGUUGGCAGACAGAUUACUAACUGGGCUAAACUUUCGAGAGCAUACCAUGCUCCUACUAAAGCAGCUCCAUUGGCUUCUGAACAAGUUUCUGUAUCCAAUUCAAAGUGCAGGCGAUUACCUAUAAAGCCCUAUCUUCGAAAGUGCAUCUCCUAUGAACCGGUGUGGGCCUUCUUGGUGGUGGCGCCCAGGCUCUGGAAUGCCCUCCCUAGAGAGGUCAGGCUAUCCCCUUUGCUUCAAGCCUUCCGUUCCAGCUUAAAAACAUGGCUCUCUAAGCAAGCCUUUGAUCUUACAUAGGUUUUUAAGGAUUAGUCCGAGGAUUUACUGUGGGCAUCACAUCGGCACUGGACUAUGUCAAUUGAAACAACUUGUUUUUAUCUGCAGCUAUGACUGCACUUUAUGAAUUUUAAUGUUUUACAUUGUAUUAUGUGUGUGUGUGGUUGUAAUUCGGUGGUUUUCUUGUAUUUUAUAAUGUGUUUUAUGAAUACUGAUGUUAGUUAAUAAUUUUUUAACUGAUUUAUAUUGUACUGUAUAAUUUUUAUAUAUGCGUUUUAUUGUAAGCCAGCCUGAGUCCCCUGUUGGGUGAGAAGGGCAGGAUAUAAAUAUUGUAAUAAAUAAAUAAAUAAAUAAAUAAAUAAAUAAAUAAUGUAUUAUCUGUGUGCGGCA